rnacentral:rRNA from 1 species
AUUGAACGCUGGCGGAAUACUUUACACAUGCAAGUCGAACGGCAGCACGGACUUCGGUCUGGUGGCGAGUGGCGAACGGGUGAGUAAUGUAUCGGAACGUGCCCAGUCGUGGGGGAUAACGUAGUGAAAAUUACGCUAAUACCGCAUACGAUCUAUGGAUGAAAGCGGGGGAUCGCAAGACCUCGCGCGAUUGGAGCGGCCGAUAUCAGAUUAGGUAGGUGGUGGGGUAAAGGCCCACCAAGCCAACGAUCUGUAGCUGGUCUGAGAGGACGACCAGCCACCCUGGAACUGAGACACGGUCCAGACACCUCCGGGAAGCAGCAGUGGGGAAUUUUGGACAAUGGGCGAAAGCCUGAUCCAGCCAGUCCGCGUGCAGGAUGAAGGCCUCGGGUUGUAAACUGCUUUUGUACAGAACGAAAAGGUUUCUACUAAUACUAGGAGCUCAUGACGGUACUGUAAGAAUAGGCACCGGCUAACUACGUGCCAGCCGCCGCCGUAA